rnacentral:rRNA from 1 species
AUUGAACGCUGGCGGCAGGCUUAACACAUGCAAGUCGAACGAGUGGCGGACGGGUGAGUAAUGCUUGGGAAUCUAGCUUAUGGAGGGGGAUAACUACGGGAAACUGUAGCUAAUACCGCGUACCAUAGGAUGAGCCCAAGUGGGAUUAGGUAGUUGGUGAUGUAAAGGCUCACCAAGCCGACGAUCUCUAGCUGGUCUGAGCGGAGUACCACCAACAUGGGGAUUUAGACACGGCCCAGACUCAUACGUGAGGCAGCAGGGGGGAUAUUGCGCAAUGGGGGCAACCUGACGCAGCCAUGCCGCGUGAAUGAAGAAGUCCUUCGGGUUGUAAAGUUCUUUCGGUAGCGAGGCGUUAACUACAGAAGAAGCACCGGCUAACUCCGUGCCAGCCGCCGCGGUAAUUC